CAGUCGCCGCGGUAAUACAGAGGGUGCGAGCGUUAAUCGGAAUCACUGGGCGUAAAGGGCGCGUAGGCGGCCUGUUAAGUCGGAUGUGAAAGCCCGGGGCUCAACCCCGGAACUGCAUCCGAGACUGGCAGGCUUGAGACCGGGAGAGGAGGGUGGAAUAUCCAGUGUAGAGGUGAAAUUCGUAGAUAUUGGAUGGAACACCGGUGGCGAAAGCGGCUCUCUGGCCCGGAUCUGACGCUGAGGCGCGAAAGCGUGGGGAGCAAACAGGAUUAGAUACCCCUGUAGUCCCUGUCUCUUAUAC
rnacentral:rRNA from 1 species